AAUAUUUUUUAAUGCACUCAAAAUACUUGUUAAAUUGUUACUAUUUAUAUAAAUGUAAAACAAAUCCACAAAUAAAAAAACAAGGUUCAUAAAUAUAUUUCUGAUGCGCACACACAAAUAUAUGUAUUUAAAAGUAUUUGCAAUUUCCAUCAAAAACAUAUUUGGAUGUGGUUACAUUAAUAUACAAACUGUUGAACCUGCAUUUACAAACUAACUAUAAUUUGUAAACUUCACUGCAUUUGUGUGUGGGGUUUUUUGAGACUCCCUUGAUGAGGCUCAGUUCACAAAUGCAUUGUAUCUAUAGCCAAUCAAAUACUUCCUUCUGCUUCAGCCAAUCACGUAGAUGGGAGAGACUAAACCAUGGAUGCCUUGUGGGAAGACCCGCCCCUAAUCUGCCUCUGAUUGGCUAUACUGUUCCAGGCAUCUGCUAAAGCCUAGAGCUAGGAUGGUAACCGGUGCUACAAACUAGGCAGGCCUAGGAGGAGAGCGACUCAGCCAUGGCAGCUCAUGUUUUUGUUCCAGUCUUUGGCCCAGUGUGCCUGAAAUCAGCUGUAUAUAUGAGGGACUGCUUCUCUCACAGAGCAUACUUUUAAUGAGGCGCCUAAAACAGAAAAACAGCACUUGCUCUGUUACCACCCUAUCAAUCAGAGGAGUCGAACACAUGGGAAUUUCUACCACCUGGUGUUCGAGAUGCAACUGGACAGUGAGCACCACCAUCAGUACUUUUACAUGAAUGCCCAGUAAAUGGAUAAUCUAUUAUCCGUUAUCAGCAGACAACUCUAAAGGCAAACUACAAACUACAGGCAGCCCACUGAACCCAAGCAAAGGCUUGUUCGUUGCAAUCAGAUGUGGUCAAGGUGAGGGCACCAUACUUUGACAGUGGAGUAAAAAAACUUUCGCUCUGCCAGUGACUACCGCCUCAGUCUGCCCUUCAGAUCACCCGGGCCUCAGCUACCUCACCACUUUCGCCAUCGAGCCGAUCUUCACCUCCGGACACUGCCGGCCAUCCACACCACACGCCCGGCUCCAGUGAUCUUCCACCUAGUCGGCUCAGUCUUCCCGCUACGCUCGCCAGCCUGGAGCCUACUCACCUUGUCACCGUCCGGAGUGCCGUCAGUCACCCCUCCAACUCGGCUCUGCCGGAUCCUCGGAGAGGCCACGGGUGACGCCGGACUUAGUAUUCAUCAGUGUCAAUAAUAAUCUGCACAAUAAAAACCAUCACGUUCA